AGAAAUGCAAAGGAAGAAAUAGUAAUAACAACUCGGAAUCUAGUGAGGUUAUGGCUGGUGGAAAUAACUGACUGAAUGUUAUGAACGCACUCUUCUAGCAGAUGAAAAUCCGUUACUUCGCGUUAAGAAGAAUGAGAUAGUGCACACUAUGAACUAAGGUGGUACCGCGGUUGAUCCGCCCUUAGA
rnacentral:ncRNA from 1 species